UUGUCAAAGGCUUUCUGGAAAUCUAAGUACACUAUGUCCACCAGAUCCUCCUUGUCCACAUGUUUGUUGACCCCUUUAAAGAACUCUAAUAGUUAAAUCACUGCAGCCCUCUCUGUGGACGCUUCUAUUUCAGUUUAAGUUCAACUUAUUUUGCUUUAGCUUAAGUCAGGUUUAAGUUAAGUGCAAAAAGACACUUAAACAGAACUAAGGCCUAGUCUACACAGUAAAGUUAUAAUGGCAGGGGUGUGACACCCCCCCAGCAACAUAGUGACGUUGACAAAAACCCUGGUGUAACACCCUAGCCUGGUCUACACUAGAAAGUGAGGUUGAUGUAAGCCACCAUGCACCAACCUCGCUGUGUGUGUCUAGGCUCGAAUUGUCUCCUGCUUACAUGAAGUGCCCCAUUAAGGCAAUACUGGAAAACCACCUCCCCUACUGGCAUUGCACCCUGGGUGACCUCCAGCAGUCAAUGCAGUAGGAGAGCUGACCCUUCCAGUCCUCCAGCAGCUCUCCCACAAUGCCCAACAGUGGCUGCUCUGGUCACAACUGUGAACUCUGUUACCCAGCCCACAGAGACUGGGAACAACUUCCCCUCCCCCCAUAUUUUUGAAAUGGCUUUUCCUGAUUGCCCAGCCGAGCAUGCUGGCUACAUGCUCCAAACACACUCUGGGCUAGAGCAGCCUGGAGCUGUUGGAGCUCCUGGGCCUGGGGGGAGAAGCGGCUGUGGAUCUCUAUGAACAUUGCCGGGGGGAUGCAUCCAGAGGGGUACAAUGGGGAUCGGUAGCAGUGCCGGAGGGAAGGGAAGAACCGCAGUGGGCAGGCCCUGCAGCCAGGGAGCCCAACAAUCGACCUGGUGCUGAGCCGCAGACCUGCAGCUCUUACAGUGAGCUGCCUGCUCUAUGUGCAACCACCAUAAAUACCUCAGAGGAGCCCGAGACAGACCCCUGCUGUGGGAGGAAGACGGGGAGACCCAGCGGCCAGGCACCUUUGUGUGAGCCGGCACCUGUUUGAGAUGCUGCCACAGUCUAGCCCAGGGGUUUUCAAUUGGGGUUGGGACCUUUCCGGUGGUCGUGAGGUUAUUACACGGGGGGUCGCAAGCUGUCAGGCUCCAGCCCAAACCCUGCUUUGCCUCCAGCAUUUAUAAUGGUGUUAAAUAUUUUUUUUAAUGUUUUUAAUUUAUAAGGGGGGUCGCAUUCAGAGGCUUGCCAUGUGAAAGGGGGUAGCAGUACAAAGGUUUGAGAACCACUGGUCUAGCCGGUCCCACCAGGCAAGCACGGACGAGCCUGCUGAAGGGGAAGGACAUGGCGUAAGUGCACGCAGGCAUUUUCCCUGGCAAUGUGUCCACCCGCAGGUAUCAACUUUUCAUCAUUUUACGUCUAGGAGAAGAGGAAGAGGUACAAGACCCAGAGAGAGCUGGCAUCAGCCUUUCCUUCUGCUGGCCCGGCCCCCGGCAGGCUGCACUCGCCAUGGCAGGGACUGGAGCGAGGCACUCCAAAGCUAAUCAUCACAAUCAGGCUGCUGCUGUUGCAGCCUUGAGGGGUGUCUCCUCCACACCUGCAACAUGCUGCAGCCUGAUGCAGAGGAGAAAAAAAGAGGACUAGGGAGAACAUGCUGAGCGGGAUCCUGCAAGCUAGUGCUGCAUUGGACCAUGAACAAAGGGCCUGGUGGGAGCAGGAUAGAAAGGACAGAAGAAAAUGGAGAAAGAGGCAUGAAUCCCAGCAGGAGAAGCAGAUGCACCAGGACAGAAUGGGGCAUCUCAGGGCAGCAAACACAAAUGCUGUGGUCUCUAGCUGACCUAGUGCAGCAGUCACAGGUUCACCUCCCUUUGCAGUCCUGCACCUGCCCCCUCCCAACAAUCCAGUUUUCACCAGGGCCACAUCCCUACCCCUACCGCUCCAGGCCAGCGCACAGGAAGGACAACCACAGCUUCGCAUAUGCCAGCCGUGCCUCUCAUAGGUUCGUAUAUGUGUAGCCAAAAUGGACUUCAGUUGUGCCCUGAAAUGGACAGAAUUGUUUGCUGCCUUUCUAAAUUUUAAGUUCCAUUUGGUUAAUUUAUAUUAGGGGUGUGUAUUGUACAGUAGAACCUCAGAGAUACAAACACCCCGAGAAGGGAGGUUGUUCGUAACUCUGAAAUAUUUGUAACUGAACAAAACGUCAGGGCGCUAUAACCUGCAUUAUGACGUGAUCCCACCAGUCAGGGCUUGUUUCUCGGGCCCAGAAGCAGUGUUCCACCAUUGCAGCUGCGCCAUAAAUGCCACCAACAACCUUGAAAUGUUUUUCGCUAUGUCCCUCAACAAACUGUCUUUGAAGAAACUGUUUGGUUCUUCUUGCAGCUCUGAUAGUUCCGGAGGAUUGUGUGUCCUGUAUUUGCGACGUUCAUGAGACUAGUGCAUAGCUGUGCAGGCUCCAAGUUUCCCCCCAGAGAUGGCGGACACAAAAGAGGGCGGGCUGGGCUUGUAGGAUUUAAAAAAAAAAACGAUGCAACAAUUAAGGGAUAAGAAUGGCAUUAUGGGAUGGAGGAAGGUGCAUGCUGGGAACUUGAACCCUAGUUCCCAGAGAUCCCUGGGUGAGUUAUUUCUAUGCAACAACAACUAGUGAAAUCUUCCCAGAAGACAUUGUGCCAGAUGAUGGCGCGUGGCCUACUGGGAUACCUACCCGUGGUGCACCACACUGUGCAUGGACACAAGCACUACUGGUGAGUACGCUGAGCACCGAUGGAAGCAGGCAAGUAUGCGUAUGCCUGAGUGAUACACUAAUGGCAACGGCUAUACAACAAUGUAACUUGCAUUGACCAAAGUUUGUAAUGUAGACAUGACCCUACAGAAAAUGCCUAGUGUAGGCUGUGUCUACGUUAGCAGACAAUGCUGGCAUAACUAUGCUGGUAUAGCCUCCGUAGUGUAGACACACUCCAAGGCCUUGUCUCCGCUACACAGUUUUGUCGAUGAGUCUGCUUUUGUCAACAAAACAGUGGAAGUGAACAUACUGAAAUGCUCCUCCCGCUGAUGUAACUCCCCUGCUAUGCUGACAUCAUAAACCCACCACAACAAGAGACAGAGCUAAUGUUGGUGUAGUCAGGGUGAUGCCUAAGGCCUGGUCUACACUUAAAGAUUAAAAUCGACCUAGCUAUGUUGCUCAGGGCUUUGAAAAAUGUCACCCCCUGACCACCGUAGUUAGACGUGUAGAUGUGGGUAGGUCAACGAAAGAAUACUUGUCUCUUGGAGAGAGGGAUUAACUACGUCAACGGAGGAAGUGUCCUCACUACAGAAACACAGCUGUGGCGCUGUAGUGUGGACACAGCCUUCUACGGACCCUAUGCCAACAUAGCCCCCUAGUGUAGACACAGCAUAUGUGGAGAGAAGGAGGAGUUUUGCCAGUGUAAGAAUACCCCCUUCCCAAAUGACAUUGGCUGGGCCGACAGAAGCUUGACUCUUCUGUCACAUAGCUGUGGUUAAACUGGGGGUUUUGUGGACAGAGCUAGGUUGCUAAAGGGUAUGUUUUUUCAUAGCCCUGACCAACAUAGCUAUUUUAGUAUACGUUAUAAGUGUAGACUAAACCAAAGCUUUAAACACCAGCUCGUGGCUUUAACAUUUUUCAUUUGUGGGGCAGAGUGGAGGCUCCGGCUUUGUCUACACUAGAAAAUUACAUCAGUAUGGGGUGUGAAAAAUCCACACUCCUGAGCGGUAUUGUUAAGCCAACCUAAGUCUCCAUGUAGACAGUGCUAGGUUGACAGAAGAAUUUUUUCCUGCCUCUCGGGGAGGUGGAUUCACUAUGCUGACGAGAGAACCCCUCACAGCCCUGAUCUUGGCUGGAAACUUCAGGUGCUAAUGAUAAUGUGUGGUUUUGCCACAUACUUUGAGUGAUCUUGGGUAAAUUAACUAAUCUGUCUGUGCCUCCUGUAAAAUGGGGGUGAUAGUAAUAAUUAUCUACCCCACGGGAGAGUUGUGAAGAUCAGAGAUCCAUGGAUACAAGUCUCUAUCGAAGGGGAAAGUAUUCAGAAUUUUUUAACUUGUCUGUCUAGCCGUGGCCAUCAGAGGUCAGCAUGCCCUCAAGGAUCAAUUUGCUGUACGUCCAUAAUCCCCUUCAUUUUCAGUUUAAACUCAUUUUUACUGAAAA